CGUAGGUAAUCUACCUUCGGGUGGGGAAUAACGCAGGGAAACUUGCGCUAAUACCGCAUAAUGCAGCGGCACCACAUGGUGACAGUUGUUAAAGCGGGGGAUUUUCGAACCUCGCGCCUGAAGAGGAGCCUGCGGCAGAUUAGCUAGUUGGUAGGGUAACGGCUUACCAAGGCGACGAUCUGUAGCCGGCCUGAGAGGGCGGUCGGCCACACUGACACUGACAUACGGGUCAGACUCCUACGGGAGGCAGCAGUCGGGAAUUUUGGGCAAUGGGCGAAAGCCUGACCCAGCAACGCCGCGUGAAGGAUGAAAUCCUUCGGGAUGUAAACUUCGCAAGAAUGGGAAGAAUGAACGAGCGCGAACACCGUUCGUGAUGACGGUACCAUUUGUAAGCUCCGGCUAACUCCGUGCCAGCAGCCGCGGUAAUACGGGGGGAGCAAGCGUUGUUCGGAUUUACUGGGCGUAAAGGGCGCGUAGGCGGCCAGCGCAAGUCAGUUGUGAAAUCUCCGGGCUUAACUCGGAAGGUCAACUGAUACUGCGCGGCUAGAGUGCGGAAGGGGCAACUGGAAUUCUCGGUGUAGCGGUGAAAUGCGUAGAUAUCGAGAGGAACACCUGCGGC
rnacentral:rRNA from 1 species